CACCCGCAGCUCGAGUGGUGGUCACUUUUAUUGAGCCUAAAGCGUUUGUAGCCGGUUUUGCAAAUCUUCAGAUAAAUUCCUCUGCUUAACAGAUGAUCUUCUGAAGAGACUGCGAGACUUGGGACCGGGUGAGGUUGAAGGUACUUCCGGGGUAGGGGUAAAAUCCUGUAAUCCUGGAAGGACGACCGGUGGCGAAGGCGUUCAACUAGAACGGAUCCGACGGUGAGGAACGAGGGCUAGGGUAGCAAACCGGAUUAGAUACCCGGGUAGUCCUAGCUGUAAACACUGCCCACUUGGUGUUGCCCCUCCGAUGAGGGGAGGCAGUGCCGGAGCGAAGGUGUUAAGUGGGCCGCUUGGGGAGUAUGGUCGCAAGGCUGAAACUUAAAGGAAUUGGCGGGGGAGCACCGCAACGGGAGGAGCGUGCGGUUUAAUUGGAUUCAACGCCGGAAAACUCACCGGGAGCGACCUUUGGAUGAGAGUCAGCCUGAUGAGCUUACUCGAUAGAAGGAGAGGUGGUGCAUGGCCGUCGUCAGCUCGUACCGUAGGGCGUUCACUUAAGUGUGAUAACGAGCGAGACCCCCAUCUCUAAUUGCUAACGUGCAUUCGCGUGUACGCGCACUUUAGAGGGACCGCCAGUGCUAAACUGGAGGAAGGAGGGGUCGACGGCAGGUCAGUACGCCCCGAAUCUCCCGGGCAACACGCGCGCUACAAAGGGCAGGACAAUGAGUUGCCACCUCGAAAGGGGGAGCUAAUCUCGAAACCUGUUCGUAGUUAGGAUUGAGGGCUGUAACUCGCCCUCAUGAAUGUGGAUUCCGUAGUAAUCGCGGGUCAACAGCCCGCGGUGAAUAUGCCCCUGCUCCU
rnacentral:rRNA from 1 species